UGAAGCGGCAACAGCUCAAAUUUGAAAUCUGGCUCUUUUAGAGUCCGAGUUGUAAUUUGCAGAGGGCGCUUUGGCUUUGGCAGCGGUCCAAGUUCCUUGGAACAGGACGUCACAGAGGGUGAGAAUCCCGUACGUGGUCGCUGGCUAUUGCCGUGUAAAGCCCCUUCGACGAGUCGAGUUGUUUGGGAAUGCAGCUCUAAAUGGGAGGUACAUUUCUUCUAAAGCUAAAUAUUGGCCAGAGACCGAUAGCGCACAAGUAGAGUGAUCGAAAGAUGAAAAGCACUUUGGAAAGAGAGUCAAACAGCACGUGAAAUUGUUAAAAGGGAAGCGCUUGCAGCCAGACUUGCUUACAGUUGCUCAUCCGGGCUUUUGCCCGGUGCACUCUUCUGUAGGCAGGCCAGCAUCAGUUUGGGCGGUAGGAUAAAGGUCUCUGUCACGUACCUCCUUUCGGGGAGGCCUUAUAGGGGAGACGACAUACUACCAGCCUGGACUGAGGUCCGCGCAUCUGCUAGGAUGCUGGCGUAAUGGCUGUAAGCGGCCCGUCUUGAAACACGGACCAAGGAGUCUAACAUCUAUGCGAGUGUUUGGGUGUCAAGCCCGAGCGCGUAAUGAAAGUGAACGGAGGUGGGAACCCGCAAGGGUGCACCAUCGACCGAUCCUGAUGUCUUCGGAAGGAUUUGAGUAAGAGCAUGGCUGUUGGGACCCGAAAGAUGGUGAACUAUGCUUGAAUAGGGUGAAGCCAGAGGAAACUCUGGUGGAGGCUCGCAGCGGUUCUGACGUGCAAAUC
rnacentral:rRNA from 1 species